ACCAGAGAUUCAGUGAAAUUGUAGUGGAGGUGAAAAUUCCUCCUACCCGCGGCAAGACGGAAAGACCCCGUGGACCUUUACUACAACUUAGCACUGCUAACGGGAAUAUCAUGCGCAGGAUAGGUGGGAGGCUUUGAAGUAAGGGCUUUGGCUCUUAUGGAGCCAUCCUUGAGAUACCACUCUUGAUGUUUCUGUUAGCUA
rnacentral:rRNA from 1 species